rnacentral:rRNA from 1 species
AGGACGAACGCUGGCGGCGUGCCUAACACAUGCAAGUGGAGCGACGACCCGGGCUUCGGCCCGGUGCAAAGCCGCGAACGGGUGAGUAACACGUGGGUAACCUGCCCUGAUGAUUGGGACAACCCGAGGAAACUCGGGCUAAUACCGAAUGUGCCCUCUGGCCGUAAGGCCUCUGGGGAAAGGAAGCUUCGGCCUCCGCAUUGGGAUGGGCCCGCGGCCCAUUAGCUUGUUGGUGAGGUAACGGCUCACCAAGGCAACGAUGGGUAGCUGGUCUGAGAGGACGAUCAGCCACACUGGGACUGAGACACGGCCCAGACUCCUACGGGAGGCAGCAGUGGGGAAUCUUGCGCAAUGCGCGAAAGCGUGACGCAGCAACGCCGCGUGGGGGAAGAAGGCCUUCGGGUUGUAAACCCCUUUCAGUUGGGACGAAGCUUCGGCGGUGAAUAGCCGCCUGGAGUGACGGUACCUUCAGAAGAAGCCCCGGCUAACUACGCGCCAGCAGCCGCGGUAA